rnacentral:rRNA from 1 species
CAGCAGCCGCGGGAAUACGAACCGUGCGAACGUUAUUCGGAAUUACUGGGCUUAAGGCGCGUGUAGGCGGGCCGCCACGUCGGUUGCUGAAAUCCCCCGGCUCAACCGGGGAAGUGGCAUCGAUACGAGCGGCCUUGAGGGGGGUAGGGGGAUCUGGAACUUCCGGUGGAGCGGUGAAAUGCGUUGAGAUCGGAAGGAACGCCCGUGGCGAAGGCGAGGUCCUGGACCCUUUCUGACGCUGAGACGCGAAAGCCAGGGGAGCGAACGGGAUUAGAUACCCGUGUAGUCCCUGUCUCUUAUA